rnacentral:rRNA from 1 species
UACGUAGGAUCCGAGCGUUAUCCGGAUUUACUGGGCGUAAAGAGUUGCGUAGGUGGCAUAGUAAGUUAAUAGUGAAAUCGUGUGGCUCAACCAUACUCACAUUAUUAAAACUACUGAGCUAGAGAAUGAGAGAGGUUACUGGAAUUCCAAGUGUAGGAGUGAAAUCCGUAGAUAUUUGGAGGAACACCGGAUGGCGUAGGCAGGUAACUGGCUCAUUCUGACACUAAGGCACGAAGCGUGGGAGCAACGGG